AGUUCGAUUAUGGCCAGAUUGAACGCUGGUGGAUGCUUUACAUGCAAGUUUGAACGGCAGCACGGACUUCGGUCUGGUGGCGAGGCGAACGGGUGAGUAAUGUAUCGAACGCCUAGUAGCGGGGAUAACUACGUGAAAGCGUAGCCAAUACCGUGAGCACACCUUCGGGGAAAGCGGGGGACCUCGGGCCUCGCACUAUUAGAGCGGCCGAUAUCGGAUUAGCUAGUUGGUGGGGUAACGGCUCACCGGUUAUGACGAUCCGUAGCUGGUUUGAGAGGACGACCAGCCACACUGGGACCGGAGACACGGCCCAGACUCCUACGGAGGCAGCAAAAUUUCGGACAAUGGGAAACCCUGAUCCAGCCAUCCCGCGUGUGCGAUGAAGGUCUCUUGGCCAGGUACACCCUUUUGGGCAGGAAGGAACGGCAUCGCGGAUACCCGUGCAACUGACGGCACCUUUGCAGAAUAAGCACCGGCUAACUACGUGCCAGCAGCCGCGGUAAUACGUAGUGCGUUAAUCGGAAUUACUGGGCGUAGCGUGCGCAGGCGGUUCGGAAAGAAAGAUGUGAAACUCAGAGCUUAACUUUGGAACCGCAUUUUUAACUACCGAGCUAGAGUGUGUCAGAGGGAGGUGGAAUUCCCGCGUGUAGCAGUGAAAUGCGCGUAGAUAUGCGGAGGAACACCGAUGGCGAAGGCAGCCUCCUGGGAUAACACUGACGCUCAUGCACGAAAGCGUGGGGAGCAAACAGGAUUAGAUACCCUGGUAGUCCAGUCGCCCUAAACGAUGUCAACCAGCUGUUGGGGCCCGGGCCUUGGUAGCGCAGCCAACGCGUGAAGCUGACCGCCCAGGAGUACGGUCGCAAGAUUAAAACCUGCAGCGAAUUGACGGGGACCCGCACAAGCGGUGAUGAUGCGGAUUAAUUCGAUGCAACGCGAAAACCUUACCUACCCUUGACAUGUCUGAAUCCCGAAGAGAUUUGGGAGUGCUCGCAAGAGAACCGGAACACAGGUGCUGCAUGGCUGUCGUCAGCUCGUGUCGUGAGAUGUUGGGUUAAGUCCUGCAAACGAGCGCAACCCUGUCACAGUUGCUACGAAAGGGCACUCAUCGAGACUGCCGGUGACAAACCGGAGGAAGGUGAUGACGUCAAGUCCUCAUGGCCCCCAGGGUAGGGCUAAUAUCGUCAUACAAUGGUCGGGACAGAGGACGCCAUCCGCGAGGGAGCCAUCCAGAAAACCCGACCGUAGUCCGGAUCGCAGUCUGCAACUCGACUGCGUGAAGUCGGAAUCGCUAGUAAUCGUGAUCAGCAUGUCGCGGUGAAUACGUUCCCGGUCUUGUACACACCGCCCGUCAUGGAGUGGGUUUACCAGAAGUAGUUAGCCUAACCGUAAGGAGGGUUACUACUACGGUAGGAUUCAGACUGGGGUAGAAGUCGCAACAAGGCAA
rnacentral:rRNA from 1 species